UCUUACGGAUGAGCAAAGAGAGUGGUUUCUUGAGAUGGAAGCUCUCCCUGAUGAAGAUGCUGUGAA
rnacentral:pre_miRNA from 1 species